GGCGGCGUAGCCAAGCGGUAAGGCAUGGGCCUGCAAAGCCUUGAUCACCGGUUCGAAUCCGGUCGCCGCCU
rnacentral:tRNA from 1 species